CAAUAGCGUAUAUUAAAGUUGUUGCGGUUAAAAAGCUCGUAGUUGGAUUUCUGCUGAGAACGACCGGUCCGCCCUCUGGGUGUGUAUCUGGCUCUUUCUUGGCAUCUUCUUGGUGAACGUUGCUGCACUUGACUGUGUGGAGCGCUACCCAGGACUUUUACUUUGAGGAAAUUAGAGUGUUUCAAGCAGGCAUACGCCUUGAAUACAUUAGCAUGGAAUAAUAAGAUAGGACCUCGGUUCUAUUUUGUUGGUUUCUAGAGCUGAGGUAAUGAUUAAUAGGGAUAGUUGGGGGCAUUCGUAUUUAACUGUCAGAGGUGAAAUUCUUGGAUUUGUUAAAGACGGUCUACUGCGAAAGCAUUUGCCAAGGAUGUUUUCAUUGA
rnacentral:rRNA from 1 species